UACAGAGGGGGCAAGCGUUGUUCGGAAUUACUGGGCGUAAAGGGCGCGUAGGCGGCCUGCUAAGUCGAACGUGAAAUCCCCGAGCUCAACUCGGGAACUGCGUCCGAUACUGGCAGGCUUGAAUCCGGGAGAGGGAUGCGGAAUUCCAGGUGUAGCGGUGAAAUGCGUAGAUAUCGGGAGGAACACCUGUGGCGAAAGCGGCGCACUGGACCAUAACUGACGCUGAGGCGCGAAAGCUAGGGGAGCAAACAGG
rnacentral:rRNA from 1 species